GACGAACGCUGGCGGCGUGCUUAACACAUGCAAGUCGAACGGACAGGCCCUGCUUUUGUGGGGUGCUCGAGUGGCGCACGGGUGAGUAACACGUGAGUAACCUGCCCUUGUCUUUGGGAUAACUUCAGGAAACUGGGGCUAAUACCGGAUAGGAGCUCCUGCUGCAUGGUGGGGGUUGGAAAGUUUCGGCGGUGGGGGCUGGACUCGCGGCUUAUCGGCUUGUUGGUGGAGUAGUGGCUUACCAAGGCUUUGACGGGUAGCCGGCCUGAGAGGGUGACCGGCGACAUUGGGACUGAGAUACGGCCGAGGCUCCGACGGGAGGCAGCAGGGGGGAAUAUUGCACAAUGGGCGGAGGCCUGAUGCAGCAACGCCGCGUGCGGGAUAACUGUCUUCGGGUUGUAAACCGCUUGCGCAUGUGACGAAGCGUGAGUGACGGUAAUGGGUAAAGAAGCACCGGCUAACUACGUG
rnacentral:rRNA from 1 species